GGCAUGCCUUACACAUGCAAGUCGAACGGUAACAGGUCUUCGGAUGCUGACGAGUGGCGAACGGGUGAGUAAUACAUCGGAACGUGCCCGAUCGUGGGGGAUAACGAGGCGAAAGCUUUGCUAAUACCGCAUACGAUCUACGGAUGAAAGCGGGGGAUCUUCGGACCUCGCGCGGACGGAGCGGCCGAUGGCAGAUUAGGUAGUUGGUGGGAUAAAAGCUUACCAAGCCGACGAUCUGUAGCUGGUCUGAGAGGAUGAUCAGCCACACUGGGACUGAGACACGGCCCAGACUCCUACGGGAGGCAGCAGUGGGGAAUUUUGGACAAUGGGCGAAAGCCUGAUCCAGCCAUGCCGCGUGCAGGAUGAAGGCCUUCGGGUUGUAAACUGCUUUCGUACGGAACGAAAAGCCUCUUUCUAAUAAAGAGGGGUCAUGACGGUACCGUAAGAAUAAGCACCGGCUAACUACGUGCCAGCAGCCGCGGUAAUACGUAGGGUGCAAGCGUUAA
rnacentral:rRNA from 1 species